rnacentral:misc_RNA from 1 species
UCGCGUGUCUUUGCUUCUCUUUUUCUUUGCACUUCGUUGCCGCCGAACCUCGAGACCUAACCUCGACCCUAACUCGGCUUAAAUCCCGCUGGGGAUUUAUUUUUACUUUAAGAUCUAUAUCUUUAAUCAUACUUUGCUACAAAUCGAGUCACUGCCCUCGAUUAAUAACGGGCUGACUGAUUACCGGCAUUUACACCGGUGGAGAUCUCCGCCGGUCAUCGGACGAAGACGGAACUGAAGACCAUCAUCACCGGGAAUUAGUCAGGCCAGUGUCCUUCCAUAUUACUUUCUAAGGUACGUUGUCGCGGCGUGGGUCAGCUCAGGAAAUAAAGGCUGAAAAUCAGGUGCCUAACGCGCCUGAUUCCGAACCUAC